AGGCCACUGCUAUCGGAGUUCGAUUAAGCCAUGCGAGUCGUGAGGGGUAAAGCCCUCGGCGGAGUGCUCAGUAACACGUGGACAACCUACCCAAGAGUCAGGGAUAACCCCGGGAAACUGGGGAUAAUACCUGAUAGGCCAUGACAUCUGGAGUCGAGUUGUGGUUUAAACGUAAGGCUCUUGGAUGGGUCUGCGGCGGAUUAGGUUGUUGCCGGUGUAACGUACCAGCAAGCCUGUAAUCCGUACGGGUUGUGGGAGCAAGAGCCCGGAGAUGGAUUCUGAGACACGAAUCCAGGCCCUACGGGGCGCAGCAGGCGCGAAAACUCUACAGUGCAGGUAACUGCGAUAGGGGAACAUCGAGUGGCAUCCACCAUGGAUGUCUGUCCAAUCGUCUAAAAAACGAUUGUCAGCAAGGGCCGGGCAAGACCGGUGCCAGCCGCCGCGGUAAUACCGGCGGCUCGAGUGGUGGCCGAUAUUAUUGAGUCUAAAGGGUCCGUAGCCGGCUUUGCAAGUCCUAUGGGAAAUCCAGCGGCUUAACCGUUGGGCUUUCAUGGGAUACUACAUUGCUUGGGACUGGGAGAGGUAGGAGGUACUCAGGGGGUAGGGGUGAAAUCCUGUAAUCCUUUGGGGACCACCGGUGGCGAAGGCGUCCUACCAGAACAGGUCCGACGGUGAGGGACGAAAGCUAGGGGCACGAACCGGAUUAGAUACCCGGGUAGUCCUAGCCGUAAACGAUGCUCGCUAGGUGUCACGGCAGUCGUGAAUUGUCGUGGUGCCGUAGGGAAGCCGUGAAGCGAGCCACUUGGGAAGUACGACCGCAAGGUUGAAACUUAA
rnacentral:rRNA from 1 species